rnacentral:rRNA from 1 species
UAGGGAAUCUUCCACAAUGGACGCAAGUCUGAUGGAGCAACGCCGCGUGAGUGAAGAAGGUUUUCGGACCGUAAAGCUCUGUUGUUGGUGAAGAAGGAUAGAGGUAGUAACUGGCCUUUAUUUGACGGUAAUCAACCAGAAAGUCACGGCUAACUACGUGCCAGCAGCCGCGGUAAUACGUAGGUGGCAAGCGUUGUCCGGAUUUAUUGGGCGUAAAGCGAGCGCAGGCGGAAGAAUAAGUCUGAUGUGAAAGCCCUCGGCUUAACCGAGGAAUUGCAUCGGAAACUGUUUUCUGAGUGCAGAAGAGGAGAGUAGAACUCCAUGUGUAGCGGUGGAAUGCGUAGAUAUAUGGAAGAAUACCAGUGGCGAAGGCGGCUCUCUGGUCUGCGACUGACGCUGAGGCUCGAAAGCAUGGGUAGCGAACAGGAUUAGAUACCCUGGUAGUCCAUGCCGUAAACGAUGAGUGCUAAGUGUUGGGAGGCUUCCGCCUCUCAGUGCUGCAGCUAACGCAUUAAGCACUCCGCCUGGGGGAGUACGACCGCAAGGUUGAAAC